AGUUCGAAAUCCGAGUGCCUGCCGGGUUGGUUCUUGCUGAGUGCUGAGUGGAAGAAUUUGUUCCAUGCCUAGAAAGGUGUGAACUGAUUUCUAAAGAGCACCGGACCGGAAGCAGAGAUGGGGCAGGAGACCUUGGACAUGGAGAGGUGUGUGGAGGGUCUGCAUUGCUGGGGAGGCCAAAGCACC